CGAGAUGGUACACUGCUGAGUGCCAUAACUCUUCUUUGAUUCUUGACAGAAGGUCAAGCUACCUUUCAACCGUUAGUGCUAUUAAACAGCCCAUCAGAGCUACUAGGUCCAGAAAUAUAAUGCUACAACAUAGAAAUAUCAACACCAUCGAAGUUGUUGGUAACAAAGACGAUUUUGCGGGUUUGUGCUCAAGAUCAACAAACAGCUGGUAGUUUUUAAACUUCUGUCGUCCUUCUGUAUAUUUCAAACUAAAUAAGAAGCCAACAACACAUUCUCUGGUAGGUGGUUGUAUACCCAGAUCAUCACAGCAUCGCCCCUGC
rnacentral:lncRNA from 1 species